GUAUAUGCUUGUCUCAAAGACUAAGCCAUGCAAGUGCCUGUAUGAGUGUUUAUACAACGAAACUGCGAAUGGCUCGGUAAAACAGCAAUAAUUUCUUCGGGGGUAAUACUACUUGGAUAACCGUAGUAAAGCUAGAGCUAAUACAUGCUACCUAUGCGGGAUUUUAUUAUUUCGUGGUACUAAGUAUUAGGUACAAGCCAAUUUUUCUUGGUGAUUCAUACUUAUCUUCUGAUCGCACUCUGUGCGACGCCCCGAUCAAAUUUCUGACCUAUCAACUAUGAUGGUAAGGUAGUGUCUUACCAUGGUUGUGACGGGUAACGGACCGUGGGUGCGGGAUUCCGGAGAGGGAGCCUGAGAAACGGCUACCACAUCCAAGGAAGGCAGCAGGCGCGCAACUUACCCAAUCCGAAUUUCGGGAGGUAGUGACAAUAAAUAUCAAUAGGGGGACCAUUGGUCUUCCUAAUUGGAAUGAAAACAGUGUAAACACCUUAUUGAGGAACCAGCAGAGGGCAAGUCUGGUGCCAGCAGCCGCGGUAAUUCCAGCUCUGUAAGCGUAUACCAAAGUUGUUGCAGUUAAAACGCUCGUAGUCGGAUUUUGGCGUCGAGCUGUCGAAGACUCCGCAAGGACGUCGAGGCAGAUCCGCCUUUGUGCACGGGGGGGUGGUGGUACUUUAUUGUAUCGCUGCGUUCUCGCCACUGUUUACUGUGAAAAAAUUAGAGUGUUCAAAGCGAGCGAUUGCCAUGAAUACAUUAGCAUGGAAUAAUAGAAUAGGACCUGGUCCUGUUUUGUUGGUUUGUCAGUAUUGGGUAAUGAUUAAGAGGGACGGUCGGGGGCAUUUGUAUUCCAGCGCUAGAGGUGAAAUUCUUGGAUUGCUGGAAGACAAACAGCUGCGAAAGCGUCUGCCAAGGACGUUUUCAUUGAUCAAGAACGAAAGUCAGGGGAUCGAAGACGAUCAGAUACCGUCCUAGUCUUUACUAUAAACGAUGAGGACUGGGGAUCGGGCGUGUUCUAUUCGUAUACACUCGGCGCCCUCCGGGAAAGCAAACUAUUUGCUUUCUGGGGGGAGUAUGGUCGCUUGUCUGACUCUUACUGGAUUGANUUGACGGGCAUCCCCGGGUGUGGUGCCUGCGGCUUGCUUUAUUUCACUCACGGGCGGACUUCCUCGGUCCGCCCNNGAUCNGAAUUGAUUGAUUGAUUCCUCUCUCUUGCUUGAUUGGUUGGUGGUGCAUGGCCGUUCUUAGUUGGUGGAGUGAUCUGUCUGGUUAAUUCCGUUAACGAGCGAGACCUGGGCGUACUAAAUAGGGCAAGUUAUCUUUGCGAUAGCAAAAUUGUUCUUCUUAGCCGGACUGUAGGCUUUUAGCCUAUGGAAGCUCCAGGCAAUAACAGGUCUGAGAUGCCCUUAGAUGUUCUGGGCCGCACGCGUGCUACACUGAACGGUUCAAUGGGUGAGGCAGUGCGAAAGCAUGACCCAAUCUCAAAAUCCGUUCGUGCUGGGGAUAGAAGCUUGCAAUUCUCCUUUUUGAACGAGGAAUACCUUGUAAGCGUGAGUCAUCAUCUCGCGCUGAAUACGUCCCUGCCCUUUGUACACACCGCCCGUCGCUCCUACCGAUUGAGUGGUCCGGUGAGGCUUCGGGAGAGCUGGAUGGAUUGUGUUUCACGAACUGUCUGGUUUGAAC
rnacentral:rRNA from 1 species